AUGCAAGUCGAACGGAGAUGUUUAUUUCGGUAGACAUCUUAGUGGCGCACGGGUGAGUAACGCGUGAAUAACCUGACCCGAAAGGGGGAUAACAUUUGGAAACAGGUGCUAAUACCGCAUAAGACCACAAUGUCGCAUGACGAAGGGGUCAAAGAAAAUCGCUUUGGGAGGGGUUCGCGUCCCAUUAGGUAGUAGGCGGGGUAACGGCCCACCUAACCGACGAUGGGUAGCCGAGCUGAGAGGCUGAUCGGCCACACUGGAACUGAGACACGGUCCAGACUCC
rnacentral:rRNA from 1 species